GAAAAUAAUAGGUUGUCCGAGGACUUCUAAUUCUUGUGGCGGGCGAUUCGAUUUCGUUCUAUUUUCA
rnacentral:tRNA from 1 species